rnacentral:lncRNA from 1 species
CUCCAAAACUUAAAAAAUUCUACUCCUCAAUACCACAAUACAGAAUGUGAGAAAGCCUCGGCUUUCUAAGCAAGAUCAUCUUGAUGGAAGCAAAAAAUACAACAGCAGAAACAACAGGUACGGCUCAAUCACCCAAUUUAGUUGAGGAAAGGAAGCAAAAAAGUAAUUUAUGUAAAAUAUCAGGGAAAUACGAGGUAAGACUAUACCAAGAAAAACUCAGAGAAACAACAAAACUCAAGUAUUGCACGAAAAGUAGAAAUAUGAUAUGACAGAUUGUCCCAUCAUCAACUCAAUACUACUCAGGAAAACUCAAAAUUAUAUUGGAAACAAUAAGCGUGCAACUUACACAAAAACUCCAUUAUCAGAGGCUAUGGAAAUGCAAAAGCAACAUUAGAAAUAGCAAUACACUCCUGUGUGCAUGCCUAAAAUAGAACAGACAUAAUAGGGAAAAAGAUCACCAUAUCUUUGCUUCCACAAAUGCAGAGCAAGAAUCAACAAUAUCCAAGUUAUCCUCCACAUUUAAGAAAAGAAGAACUAUGCUAUAAUACUGGCAUGGAGAAAGAAAACAUAAAGCAAAUGAAAUACUAUCAUCUAACCUACUUCAGAGUCUUAAAAAAUGCAAUCAUCUAAUCUACUUUGGCUCAGACCCUGUAUGUGUUAAAAAUGCACUAAAUAAUAAAAAUUAAUAAAGUUCCAACCCAGUAAAUCAAAUAAGUUGAGGUAGAAUUAUGAACUAGAACCCAUAACGCCCAAAUCAUGGAUACGGCUCUUUGAUAAACAAGAUCCAAACUCGAUUUUCUAAUAUUAUUAUCUCUCCAUAAACUUUAUCCGAAAAACAUAAUAAUCUUAAACAAACAAAUAUCCAUCAAAUUACCCAAAAAGACCUACUUUUUUCUCUUAAGAGGCCCAGUUUUAUACCCAGAUUUAGUAGGUUUACCCCAAGGAGU